rnacentral:rRNA from 1 species
CCUACGGGAGGCAGCAGUGGGGAAUAUUGCACAAUGGGCGAAAGCCUGAUGCAGCGACGCCGCGUGAGGGAUGACGGCCUUCGGGUUGUAAACCUCUUUCAGUUCCGACGAAGCGAAAGUGACGGUAGGAGCAGAAGAAGCGCCGGCCAACUACGUGCCAGCAGCCGCGGUAAU